rnacentral:rRNA from 1 species
AGCAGCCGCGGUAAUUCCAGCUCCAAUAGCGUAUAUUAAAGUUGUUGCAGUUAAAAAGCUCGUAGUUGAAUUUCGGGAUCAAUACGUCGGUCGUGCUUCGGUACGUACUGGCGUAAUUGAUUUCUCCCUUCUGACGAACCAUGAUGUCAUUAACUUGGUGUCAUGGGAAAUCAGGACUGUUACUUUGAAAAAAUUAGAGUGUUUAAAGCAAGCUAACGCUUGAAUACAUUAGCAUGGAAUAAUGAAAUAGGACGUUCGAUCCUAUUUUGUUGGUUUCUAGGAUUGACGUAAUGAUUAAUAGGGAUAGUUGGGGGCAUUAGUAUUCAAUUGUCAGAGGUGAAAUUCUUGGAUUUAUUGAAGACUAACUACUGCGAAAGCAUUUGCCAAGGAUGUUUUCAUUAAUCAAGAACGAAAGUUAGGGGAUCGAAGACGAUCAGAUACCGUCGUAGUCUUAAACCAUAAACUAUG